AGUGAACGCUGGCGGUAGGCCUAACACAUGCGAGUCGAACGGCAGCACAGUAAGAGCUUGCUCUUACGGGAGGCGAGUGGCGGACGGGUGAGGAAUACAUCGGAAUCUACUUUUUCGUGGGGGAUAACGUAGGGAAACUUACGCUAAUAACGCAUACGACCUACGGGUGAAAGCAGGGGAUCUUCGGACCUUGCGCGAUUGAAUGAGCCGGUGUCGGAUUAGCUAGUUGGCGGGGUAAAGGCCCACCAAGGCGACGAUCCGUAGCUGGUCUGAGAGGAUGAUCAGCCACACUGGAACUGAGACAAGUUCCAGAGUCCUACGGGAGGCAGCAGUGGGGAAUAUUGGACAAUGGGCGCAAGCCUGAUCCAGCCAUACCGCGUGGGUGAAGAAGGCCUUCGGGUUGUAAAGCCCUUUUGUUGGGAAAGAAAAGCAGCAGGUUAAUACCCCGCUGUUCUGACGGUACCCAAAGAAUAAGCACCGGCUAACUUCGUG
rnacentral:rRNA from 1 species